ACAUGACUAUAGCAUAGUGUUAAUGCACCGGAUCCCAUUAGAACUCCGUAGUUAAGCACACUCAGACUAGAGUAGUACUAGGAUGGGUGACUUCCCAGGGAGUGCUAGUAUUUUACAUGCC
rfam:Picea glauca, whole genome shotgun sequence.